rnacentral:rRNA from 1 species
GAGACGCUGGCGGCGUGUCUUAGGCAUGCAAGUCGAAUGUCUCUUCGGAGGCAUGGCAGACGGGUGAGUAAGACAGUGGUAACCUACCCCAGAGUUUUGGAUAACUCUUCGAAAGGAGAGCUAAUACAAAAUGGACACGGGGGGAUAUAAAUCAUUCCCUUGUAAAGAUUUAUCGCUCUGGGAGGGGCCUUUGUGGUAUCAGCUUGUUGGUGAGGUAAAAGCUCACCAAGGCUUUGACGCUUAGCGGGUGUGAGAGCACGGCCCGCCACAUUGGGACUGAAACACUGCCCAAACUCCUACGGGAGGCUGCAGUCGAGAAUCUUCCGCAAUGCAGGAAACUGUGACGGAGCGACGCCGCGUGCAGGAAGACGCCCUUAGGGGUGUAAACUGCUUUUAUCAGGGAAAAACCCGCGAUGGUACCUGAUGAAUAAGAGGUUGCUAACCACGUGCCAGCAGCCGCGGUAAUACAAGCCGAAUCCAAGCACACU